rnacentral:ribozyme from 11 species
GAGAGAAAGAAAGAAAGAAAGAAAGGAAGAAAGGAAAGAAAGAAAAGAAAGGAGAUUGGGGGGAGUUGAUUUGUUUUUCUUUCCUUGUCUCAUCUCCUUUUGCCGU